rnacentral:lncRNA from 1 species
UCGCCUUUUAACUAAUUUCCUGUAGUGCCACCCUCUCUUAAGGGAAUGAGAUUAGUACUUUGAGAUGAAUCUCAUUCCCGAGUAAAUCCAAUAUUACCGACUAGAUUAUUUAGUACGUUUAGCCAAAUACCAUUAUAUUUUUUUAUUCCUAUUGGAUUAUUAAGAAUCUUAAAAAAAAUAGCGCGAACAAAACGCACCCUAAGAUUAAGGCGCUAUUUGGUAUUCACUGUUAGAUUGGACAAUGUAAAA